rnacentral:rRNA from 1 species
ACACACGGCGGGUGCUAACGUCCGUCGUGAAGAGGGAAACAACCCAGACCGCCAGCUAAGGUCCCAAAGUCAUGGUUAAGUGGGAAACGAUGUGGGAAGGCACAGACAGCCAGGAUGUUGGCUUAGAAGCAGCCAUCAUUAAAGAAAGCGUAAUAGCUCACUGGUCGAGUCGGCCUGCGCGGAAGAUGUAACGGGGCUAAACCAUGCACCGGAAGCUGCGGCAGCGACACUAUGUGUUGUUGGGUAGGGGAGCGUUCUGUAAGCCUACGAAGGUGACCUGUGAGGGUUGCUGGAGGUAUCAGAAGUGCGAAUGCUGACAUAAGUAACGAUAAAGCGGGUGAAAAGCCCGCUCGCCGGAAGACCAAGGGUUCCUGUCCAACGUUAAUCGGGGCAGGGUGAGUCG